GACGAACGCUGGCGGCGUGCUUAACACAUGCAAGUCGAACGGAAAGGCCCUGCUUGCAGGGUACUCGAGUGGCGAACGGGUGAGUAACACGUGGGUGAUCUGCCCUGCACUUCGGGAUGAGCCUUGGAAACUGGGUCUAAUACCGGAUAGGAGCCAUUUUUAGUGUGAUGGUUGGAAAGUUUUUUCGGUGUAGGAUGAGCUCGCGGCCUAUCAGCUUGUUGGUGGGGUAAUGGCCUACCAAGGCGGCGACGGGUAGCCGGCCUGAGAGGGUGGACGGCCACAUUGGGACUGAGAUACGGCCCAGACUCCUACGGGAGGCAGCAGUGGGGAAUAUUGCACAAUGGGCGCAAGCCUGAUGCAGCGACGCCGCGUGGGGGAUGACGGCCUUCGGGUUGUAAACUCCUUUCGCUAGGGACGAAGCUUUUUGUGACGGUACCUAGAUAAGAAGCACCGGCUAACUACGUG
rnacentral:rRNA from 1 species